CACGUAGGGGGCGAGCGUUGUCCGGAUUUAUUGGGCGUAAAGCGCUUGUAGGCGGCGUGAAAAGUCUCGUGUGAAAGCUCCAGGCUCAACCUGGAAAGUGCGCGAGAAACUGACAUGCUUGAGUGUCGGAGAGGGUGGCGGAAUUCCCGGUGUAGAGGUGAAAUUCGUAGAUAUCGGGAGGAACACCAGAGGCGAAGGCGGCCACCUGGACGAGCACUGACGCUGGAGAAGCGAAAGCGUGGGGAGCAAACAGG
rnacentral:rRNA from 1 species